UACGUAGGGCGCAAGCGUUGUCCGGAAUUAUUGGGCGUAAAGAGCUCGUAGGCGGCUUGUCGCGUCGGCUGUGAAAACCUGGGGCUCAACCCCCGGGCCUGCAGUGGGUACGGGCAGACUAGAGUGCGGUAGGGGAGACUGGAAUUCCUGGUGUAGCGGUGAAAUGCGCAGAUAUCAGGAGGAACACCGGUGGCGAAGGCGGGUCUCUGGGCCGUAACUGACGCUGAGGAGCGAAAGCGUGGGGAGCGAACAGG
rnacentral:rRNA from 1 species